rnacentral:rRNA from 1 species
UACGUAGGGGGCAAGCGUUGUCCGGAUUUAUUGGGCGUAAAGAGCGUGUAGGCGGUUUGGUAGGUCCGUUGUGAAAACUCGAGGCUCAACCUCGAGACGCCGAUGGAAACCAUCAGACUAGAGUCCGGAAGAGGAGAGUGGAAUUCCUGGUGUAGCGGUGAAAUGCGCAGAUAUCAGGAGGAACACCUGUGGUGUAGACAGCUUACUGGACCAUUUCUGACGCUGAGACACGAAAGCGUGGGUAGCAAACAGG